rnacentral:rRNA from 1 species
CAGUCGCCACGGGAAUACGAAGGGGGCUAGCGUUGCUCGGAAUCACUGGGCGUAAAGGGUGCGUAGGCGGGUCUUUAAGUCAGGGGUGAAAUCCUGGAGCUCAACUCCAGAACUGCCUUUGAUACUGAAGAUCUUGAGUUCGGGAGAGGUGAGUGGAACUGCGAGUGUAGAGGUGAAAUUCGUAGAUAUUCGCAAGAACACCAGUGGCGAAGGCGGCUCACUGGCCCGAUACUGACGCUGAGGCACGAAAGCGUGGGGAGCAAACAGGAUUAGAUACCCGCGUAGUCCCUGUCUCUUAUAC